rnacentral:rRNA from 1 species
UCAGGACGAACGCUGGCGGCGUGCUAAUACAUGCAAGUCGAACGCUUUUUCUUUCACCGGAGCUUGCUCCACCGAGAGAAAAAGAGUGGCGAACGGGUGAGUAACACGUGGGUAACCUGCCCACCAGAAGGGGAUAACACUUGGAAACAGGUGCUAAUACCGUAUAAUAAGUAAAACCGCAUGGUUUUACUUUGAAAGGCGCUUUUGCGUCACUGGUGGAUGGACCCGCGGUGCAUUAGCUAGUUGGUGAGGUAACGGCUCACCAAGGCAACGAUGCAUAGCCGACCUGAGAGGGUGAUCGGCCACAUUGGGACUGAGACACGGCCCAAACUCCUACGGGAGGCAGCAGUAGGGAAUCUUCGGCAAUGGACGAAAGUCUGACCGAGCAACGCCGCGUGAGUGAAGAAGGUUUUCGGAUCGUAAAACUCUGUUGUUAGAGAAGAACAAGGAUGAGAGUAAAACGUUCAUCCCUUGACGGUAUCUAACCAGAAAGCCACGGCUAACUACGUGCCAGCAGCCGCGGUAAUACGUAGGUGGCAAGCGUUGUCCGGAUUUAUUGGGCGUAAAGCGAGCGCAGGCGGUUUCUUAAGUCUGAUGUGAAAGCCCCCGGCUCAACCGGGGAGGGUCAUUGGAAACUGGGAAACUUGAGUGCAGAAGAGGAGAGUGGAAUUCCAUGUGUAGCGGUGAAAUGCGUAGAUAUAUGGAGGAACACCAGUGGCGAAGGCGGCUCUCUGGUCUGUAACUGACGCUGAGGCUCGAAAGCGUGGGGAGCAAACAGGAUUAGAUACCCUGGUAGUCCACGCCGUAAACGAUGAGUGCUAAGUGUUGGAGGGUUUCCGCCCUUCAGUGCUGCAGCUAACGCAUUAAGCACUCCGCCUGGGGAGUACGACCGCAAGGUUGAAACUCAAAGGAAUUGACGGGGGCCCGCACAAGCGGUGGAGCAUGUGGUUUAAUUCGAAGCAACGCGAAGAACCUUACCAGGUCUUGACAUCCUUUGACCACUCUAGAGAUAGAGCUUCCCCUUCGGGGGCAAAGUGACAGGUGGUGCAUGGUUGUCGUCAGCUCCUGUCGUGAGAUGUUGGGUUAAGUCCCGCAACCA